AAAAAACAAACUCAUUUAAAAUCAUACAUUUAAAGGACAUAAAUGUAGUUCUCCCCAAAAUAGAUAAAAGUAGAUAUCCAGCACAAAAGAUAUUGUUGACACUUUGCCAAUGCCUACAAUAUUGCCACAUAUUCUUUUGCAUAUGGAAUUUGACAUAACUUUUGCACUUUUAGCAUGGAUUUUAAAAGGAAGUAACAUCAUUGCAUUUUUAUAUAACUGCAUAAUGCUAAAAAUACAGUAUUUUUAAUUUAAACAAAGGGAUGCUAAGAACAUGUGAUUUCUAAAGUUGGUGGACUUUGGCCAGUUGAGUACAGCAACAAGUAAUUCAUUUUAACAGCCUGAACAAGCACGCCUUUCAUGGAAGAACACUCUCUCACUAUCCUAAGCCUCCUUCUCUCUCCCCAAAACUUCCCAUACGUGACAUUUGCAUUGACUUCAUCAGCUUCAAAUUGCAUCAUCAUGAAUUUUAGCAUGCAGUCUGUACUCUUUCAUCCACAGCAAGGUUGGAAGUGAAUUAGUGUAUACUAAAUUAUUAAACAUAGAGAGAAAAUUCUAACAAAACACUAAUAUUAAAACUGUCACUAUAAUCAAUGAAAAGAAUAUUUUCCAAACAAAAGCUGCCUAUGAAUUUCUACACAUGUUAAAAUACUUUUCACUAAUACAUAUAGGGGUAUUCCACUUUUAUGUAAAAUUUAUCAUAUAUCAUAUGAUAUUAAAUAUCAUAUGGGCAGAAAUAUAUAUAGCUAUGUAUGAUAAAACAAAAUAAUUAACUUUUUAUGAUACAAACAUAAAAAAAAUACUUUUCUAGAUAUUUCCCGUGCCUGGCUUAUUUCACUUUGUGACCUCUAAACCAUUCAAAUUGCUUCAGAUAAAAUUGUGUAGUUCACUCUAUGAUACUAAGGCAUUCAAUUGGAUAUAUGUGUUAUGUAUGACUUAGUCCUGAGAUCUCAGCGUAAUCAGUUGUUCCUUAACCAUUGAGAAUAAUACUGCAGCAAAACAGCACAAAGAUGAAAUCAGCACAUUGAUUUUACAUUUCUUUUGGGAAUGAAUUUGCUGGGUCAUCUUGGACUUUUAUUUUUAAACUUUUCUUUCUUUUAAAGCAAAGUUGGAGACCAUUAAAAAUGUUUGAAUAUAGAUGGAUGUUAAACAAGGAAUAAAAAAUAAGAGAAGAUGAAUGUGAUGGCUUUAACACGGACACAGGCUUCUCAGGACAGGAGGGUGUCAUCAUUUCAGCAUUUUGAGGAAUCAUAUACUGUUUUUUUUGCAAUGGUUGUCUGUAUGUCUAUUGCCCCCCAAAGUCUGCAGUGACUAUUGGCCACAUCCUUGGCAGAAUAUGUUCUCCCUCGUGUUUUGGUAACAACCAUAAUUAUUACUUUGGUUUUUUUUUGCUACAGUGUGAUAUCUCAGUGUGAUUUUGUUUCCAUUUCCUUGAUGAUUUGUGCUGCUGAUGAGUUUAAUUUAUUUGUUAAUCACUCGUUUUUCUUCUCAUAAAUGUUAAUUUUUCCCAUCAGCACCCUUUAAUAAAAUGGUUAUUGUCAUUAUUGGCUGUUAGCCUUGUUGAGAUUAUUAGAAACCCAAAUAUAACCUCAUAAAUACUAUACUCUUUCUUAUAUUUAUGUAAACAUUCUGAAGCUUAUGUAUUCAUUCAGGAAACUGUAUUCUGUAUACAACUCUUGCCUCAUGUAAUAUCACUUAUCUUGUAUAUGUAUGUCAUUGCUAGGGUCUUGGGAUAAAAUACAUAUCAUGUAGCCAAUUCCAUUGUCUUUAGGCAUCUCUCCUAAUAGUUUUAUGAAUUUCUUGUUUGUGGAUUAACUUUUAAUCACUAUAGCAAUCUUGCCUAGAAACAUCAACUCAAAGGAUGAAAUGUUUAUUCAGGCAUUUGUACACAUGUGUUUCAGACUUGGGAUUGCUGGCUUCAUCAGCAUCUGGCCUAAGACAAGACAUAAACAUUGUGGUGGACAGGCACAGAUGAGAAUGCAGACUUAAUGUAUGCUCGACAGAAAGCAGAGCAGGAAGGUGAGGAUUCAGAGAAUAAGUGGGUGUGUCAAUGAAACUGGGUACCUCAGAAGCCGAAUGCCUUACAGAAAUUCAUCAGAGCUGAUAUAUAAGAUAUUUUGCAACUCCUUUAUCAGUAGCUGAAGUAUGUCAUAGUAACAGUAUCUUAUUGGAUGAAAUGCAAAGUUAUCUAGGGUUGUGGUAGCUGGCUAGCAGGUACAAUUCAGUGCCAGAGGUAACCUCUUUGUACUUUGGGUGACUCUAAUCUUAUAAGAACUACUAGGGCCAGCUCUUAUAGUUGCAUUAUUUGGGAGUGCUAGGUCAUCUCCAGCAGAAAGUCCAUGGAAAAUGCCAUGUGUACACAUGGUUAAGUGGACAUUUUGCUAAAUAAAGAGGCAUUAUAAGAAAAGCUUUAAAGUGGUCUUCAAAUAUCCUCCUCAUACAUUGCAAGGUCUGUAUGUGUACUUUAUGCUGUUUUAGUGGGCAGAUGGAUACAUUUUGCCUGGACAGAUGUUUCAAUUAAAAAAUGGAGAGGGUCUGCAGAAUCCAGGACACUAAAAAGGGAACAGGCAGGGAAGAAAGAGCCUAAAGGGGUGGGGCAUAGAAUAGUAGAAAAGAUUCUGGAGGGGG
rnacentral:lncRNA from 1 species